AAUAUACUCCCUCCGUCCGAAAAUAUUUGUCAUCAAAAUGGAUAAAAAGAGAUGUAUCUAGAACUAAAAUACGUCUAGAUACAUCCCCUUUUAUCCAUUUUGAUGACAAGUAUUUCCAGGCAGAGGGAGUAUAUC
rfam:Triticum aestivum genome assembly, contig: Triticum_aestivum_CS42_TGACv1_scaffold_032701_1BL